GGCCUCGAGUCGGCAGAAGUGAUCAGGGGUAGGAGGAAAGGAAGAUGCCUUGGAAAAUCCAGAGGAAAUGUGAGGAAUUCAUAAAAGAGAGAGAGUAGUCGAUGAUCACAUUUGUAUCGCAAGAAGAGGAGGAAUGAGAGGGAAAGGGAGCUUAAUCUUCAGGAAAUUGGUGGGGUGGGAGACUGGGGAAGAUUUGAGGUAAAUCUUUGGUUCUUUUAUGUUUUGAGCGAUCAAAUCUUGAUCUAACCCAGUCUUCCACCCCAGUGAUUUUCUGUGGAUUCUCCUCUUCCACAACUUAUUCUACAGGCUCAGAUCUCUCUCGGAUUCAGAACUUAGUAAUUGCUUACUAAGUCAUAAGCCUACCAGGGACUAAGGGCUCCUCCUCUGCAUGAUUGAGGAAGUUGCAACUUUUACAUUCUACUGAAUCUAGAUGUGAUCUCUCAUCAGAUCAAAGGAGCACUACAAGGAUUGCAUAAAAUAACUGAAGCCCGAUAAGAUUUUGUCAACUUUAUUUGGUGGCUUUUGUUUUUGUUUUUGUUUUUUUUUGAAUGGUAUAGAAGCAUUACUGGUUUUUUUUUGUUUUGUUUUGUUUUGUUUUGUUUUUAGGGUGGGCCGCGGGGAGGGGGGGGGUUGUUGUUGUUGUUGUUGGAUCUUUCUAGGAUCAAUCUGCAAAACAGCAGAGGUAUCAAACACUUAACCUGAGCUUGAUGAUCAAAUGGGCAUGUGAAACGAGAAAAUCCAGUUAAUCCGCAAUCCUUUCUCAUCUGUUUUUGAAGACAAUAAAAUAAACUAUUAACACAGUCAAUGAAUUUGGGUUUGGUUUUGAUGGAAGACAGAAAUGGAAAUCUAAGCCAAGAUUAACGACAAUAACACGUUUUGGUUCUCAACAAUUAGAUUACCGCAAAACGACCCAAUCUGGAAUGAAAUUAGUUAACUGAAAUAAAUUUGUUCUUGCAUUGUGUGCCAACGUUCACAUAUAGUUUAUCAAGAUGUGAAGCACUCGGUUUGGUCCGGAAGAUCAAGAUCCUGUAAGAUGGAGCCGCCUUCUAGGCUUGCAUCCGGAGACUAAAACCUGGCCAAGAAAAACAAUGUACUUGUUUGUACCGUGAAUUAUUAGAGAUAUUUUUAUUGUAGCAUUUUUUGUGAUGUGAUGUAUGUGAGAUAAAAAGAUAAUUGAAAAAAUAAAAAGGUGUGUUAAAAAUUGUAAUGAUGAUGUAAGUAAAUAUAUUUUGAUAAAUAAAUUGUAAUUCAAAAAAAUUAAAUUGUGAUUUAUUUGUAUUAAUGACAUGACUACGAAAUUUUUUGACAUC